AUUGAACGCUGGCGGCAGGCCUAACACAUGCAAGUCGAACGGUAACAGGAAGAAGCUUGCUUCUUUGCUGACGAGUGGCGGACGGGUGAGUAAUGUCUGGGAAACUGCCUGAUGGAGGGGGAUAACUACUGGAAACGGUAGCUAAUACCGCAUAACGUCGCAAGACCAAAAAGGGGGACCUUCGGGCCUCUUGCCAUCGGAUGUGCCCAGAUGGGAUUAGCUAGUAGGUGGGGUAACGGCUCACCUAGGCGACGAUCCCUAGCUGGUCUGAGAGGAUGACCAGCCACACUGGAACUGAGACACGGUCCAGACUCCUACGGGAGGCAGCAGAGGGGAAUAUUGCACAAUGGGCGCAAGCCUGAUGCAGCCAUGCCGCGUGUAUGAAGAAGGCCUUCGGGUUGUAAAGUACUUUCAGCGGGGAGGAAGGGAGUAAAGUUAAUACCUUUGCUCAUUGACGUUACCCGCAGAAGAAGCACCGGCUAACUCCGUG
rnacentral:rRNA from 1 species